AUUGUGGCACUUAAUCUUUCCACCUAGUCCAGAGCCUUCCGGUUCAGGGCUGUUGUAACCUUCCUUUUAUUAAGAGAAAAUUGCUUUGCUUUACCGGACUGCUGCUGGCUCCCGUCUGCACAUUGGGAGGGAGGAGGGCGGAAUGACUGAAGGAAAGCAAAUCUAAUUGGGAAGGUUUUUCAGGACAUGUCCCUUAACCACCACCUUUGUGACCAAGAACAGGCCCUCAAACACUCUUUGCUAGAGCUGAGCUCUGGAGAUUUUGAGCCAUCCCAGUUACACAGCAGAGGACUGUGGAUUCAAAAUGGACAAAUAUAGACUGGUGAAAAACCAAGAAGACUGGGGAACAGAAGUGGGCUCCUCCAGAUAGACCUGGACAAGUUCUAAAGAAAGAACCCAGGCUAAGAUUAACCUGCCUGAAUGAAGUAGAAACACCUCCAGGCUAAUUCCAAAGAAACAUCAAAUGGGGAUUCCUCUAACUAGCCGGGUAUGCCUGGAGCCUCAGCAGGAACCACAGACACUUUCACCUCCCAGUCCAGUGAGGAUUUGAGUCCAGGAAGACAAGUGAACUUAAGCUGAUUGGGAACUCCAGGCCCAGCUGUGCUGCUUAGAGGAAGCUCUGGGCAAGAAGGAACCAGCACCAAAUGAGUGCAAAAGCUGCAGGGCAGAGAAACUGCUGAUUGUGGGCAUUUGCAGGAGGGUACAGCUCUUGGUUUGGGGUUCCUAUUCAGUGGAGAACUGAAGGGAAGUUUGAGGCAUCAUCUCUCUCACCCCACGAGUAGAGGUGCUUACACUAAUAUCUUUUAUUAAAAUAAAAUGAACUGGCAAAGAAAAAAAGAAUCCCAUCAUUGAAACAUAUUUAUGGGAUCAAGGAAGACUAGAAUUCAUCUUUAGAGGAAACUUUAGUUAAAAAAAAAGCUGCUUUUAAAAAAAAAAAACUUUUUAUUAACAGAAUUCAUGCCAGGAAAUUUUUUACAACAUUAUCCCUUGCACUCACUUCUGUUCCGAUAAAAAAAGCUUCUAAAAGGAACAUGAAAUGGUUCCCUACCCAGAGAGAAUUUAUAAAAGAACUCAAAAAAGAAUUCAAAAAUCAAGUAAAUGAGAGACAUUGAGAAAAAAAAAAGAAAAAAUUAAAACCAUCCAAGAAAAAUAAGAUUAUGAAAAAAAGUUAUUCGAUUAGAAAAAGGAGGUACAGAGUCUCAAAGAUGAAAAUAACUCUUUGAAAAUUAGAUUCGGACAAGGAGAUGCCAAUGAAGCUACGAGAGACCAAGAAAUAACAAAACAGAUUAGAAAGAAUGAGAAAAUAGAACAGAAUGUGAAACAUCUCAUAAGAAAAACAGCAGACCUGGAGAAUAGAUCAAGAAGAAAAAAAAUGAGAAUAAUUAGACUGCCAGAAACUUCUGACCAAAAAGAGAACCUUGACACAAUAAUGCAGGAAAUAAUCCUAGAAAAUUGUCCUGGAGUAAUAGAACAUGAGGGGAAAGUAGAAGUAGAAUAAAUCUACCCAUCACCACCUUAAAGAAAUCUUUUAUGGAAAACACCCAGGAGUAUUCUUACCAAAUUUUGAAACCCCCAGAUCAAAGAGAAAAUUUUGCAAGAAACGAGAAAAAAAUAAUUCAAAUAUGCUGGAGCUACAAUUAGAAUUGUACAAGAUUUAGCAGCAGCUACAAUAAAAGACUGCAGAUCUUGUAAUCAUAUCUACAGACAAGCAAAUGAACUAAAAAUAUCAUAUUCAUCAAAAUUAUCUAUAAUUUUCAAUGAGAAAAAAUUGACAUUCAGUGAACUUUCAGAUUUUUCAGGACUUUCUAUCAACCAAACUCUAACUUAACAAAAAACUUUACAUAUAAGAGCUAAUAUCAAAGAGCAAUUUUAAGAAACUCAACAUAGACAAAUUUUCUAAACAUGAACAAACUGGUUUAAGAUUUACAUCAACAAUACGGUAAACUCAAAAGAAAGACUGGCAGAGUAAAGGUAAAAAUAGUAAUCAUUAUACAACUGAAGUGCAGAGGAAGAAAAGACACAGAGACAUUAGAGGGGGGAGAAGGGCUCCUAGUUCUGAAAACCUACUCAUAGCAGGAAUGGGGGUUCAAUAGACAACACUACAUAUAUGCCAUGAAGAGUAUAGUACCUUCCACAAUCUAUAAAAAAAUAAAGGGUAAGGGAUAAGUGGAUGGGUAAGCAAAGGGUUGGAGCAGAAUUUAAAGAGUCAUCAGGGAUGGGAAAGAUCUAUGUAACUGGGGAAUGUGUGUAUGGGGAAUAUAUAUAAUUUAUACACACAUAUAUCUUUUCGUAGAUGUAGCUUACUUGGGGGUGGGAUGGGGGAUGAAAUGGAGACAUGUGUGUGUCUUUAUAUAUGUGUAUGCAUAUAUCUAUAUAUGUAUAUGUAAAUAUAUAAAUAAGCCUUUCUUAACUAUAGCUUGCUUGGAGGUGUGGGUGGGGAUGAAAGGAGGGAAAAGAGAUACAAUAAAUAAGGUGGGCAGCAGAGAACAAAACAUUUUACAAGGAAGUAAAGAUGGAUACUCAUAAAUAUAAAUUCUUCUACAUAUAUAUGCUUUCUUAAAUUGGUAUUUGUUGUCAUAUAUUUAGAAUCCUCUCUGAUCUGCUAGCACAGGAUAAUAUUCUUUUUUGGUUUGUUUCAUUGUUUUGUAUUGCUUUCCUGUUUUUCUUUUUGCUUAUUUUGUUUCUUCAAAUAAAAUAAAUUUUGAAAAAACCCAUCAUUACUGGCUUGAGAAAAAUAGGCUGGCAUUUAGGUAAGGCUAAUUACACUCCUCUCUAACAAUCAAGGAAUGUCAACUAUUCUAUGGGGGGGCUCAUCUUUGCCAUGUAGUUUUUGCUAGAGGUUCACAACUAAUAAAUUUACUGUUUCCUUUGAAGAGAUAAAAAUUCCUUUAACUACAAAAAUAGGAAAGGACCAUAUCUCUUCUGGAGAUAGUUAUUUUUUGGGUUAAACAAACAGAUAUCCAUGAUAUAUCCCUAUGGGAUACUGGCAUGAGAUAUAGUAUCAAUUAUGUUAAACUAAACUAGUUCAGCAGGAUUCCUGAGCUGAACUUAAAGCCAUGUGGAUGUAGACCCAAUUAUAAAAUUAAUACCAUAAUUUAUAAAGCCAUAAAUUCAGUUACAUUGUAAAGCAGUACAGAAGAAUUCAAUAUAGAAGUAAUAUUGUUUAGAUAAUUUUACACAAUGGCACUAAGACUGUGGUAAAAGUGGGUGCUGUGCAAUGAAGUAUACUAGGUUAUUACUGACCCUAUAUAAUACCAUUUAAUAUUAAUGGUGCUGUUCCAUGAAUUUUGUGUUCUUGGCACAAAGGACACCAUUUUGGACAGUUAGGUCAAUGGAAAACCCUUGAACUAGUGAAAAAUAGAUAUUUCCAGUUCUAAAUGGUACAUGAUAUACAUGAAAUAUUGAUGGUACUCAGUGUGUCUAAAAGAAAGCAAUGCUAAUUCAUGCUUCAUACUUGAGAAUAUAAAAUCAGCAGAUCUUUGGAGCUUAUUAUGUGCAUGGAUUUUUUUAUUUUUGUCUCUGGAAUUAACAGUAAGAACAUGAGCCAUACUCUGGUGGUAACUGAUAUCACCCUGUAGGUACAGGCUUACUGAAUCUGAAAUCAGAAAGCUAUGCCAGUUAAUAAUAUGUUGUGGGGGGAAAAACUGAAUGUUUAAUAUGAUUUUAACAUAACAUGAUUUAUGUAAAGCUUAUAUUGGAUUGCUUGUUAGAUUGCAUUGUCUUAGGGAGGGGAGAAGGGAGGAAGGAAUGAGAAAAAUUAAAAACUCAAUCUUACAAAAAUGAAUGUUGAAAACUAUCUUUACAAGUAAUAGGAAAAUUUAAAAAUACUAUUAAGUAAAUAUUUUUCAGUAUAUGACUUCCCAGCCAUAUUUUACUCUGAUCAUGGUACAAACGUUAUAAACAAAUUACUUAAAGAGAUUGGCCUUGGCUCCAGGUUUUUUGAUUCCAAAUCCAAGGUUCUUUCUACUUAUAUAAUAAUUAGAUGAUCCUUAAAGGUCCUCAAGCAUCAAGAAGUCUAGAAAGACACUUUACUGCCUUCUGAGCCAUCUACAACCAGAGUUAUUUAACAACUGCCUAAUAUGCUAGGAAUAUUGAAACUUGAACCGAAAUACCAGCAAAUGCUGCAUGUGGGGCAUUUUGCGGCUUCAUUUUAGGCAUUUGCUACUUAUAUAAAGAUAGGUUUCAUUUUACCUUUCUUAGGUGGGUUUUUCUUAUUUAUAAAAAUGAACUAUCUUUUUAUGAUAUACCUUGCAUGACCUACCUAAUAAAGUACCUUAUAAGACUUAAAGUGCUGUAUAAUUUGAAUUAUUCUCACCCAGUCCAAAACCCUCACUUAAGACAAACAUGAAAAUGAAGCCAGGAAAAAUAUAGUGGUUUGUCCAAAGUUAUAAGGCAAUUGUAAAAGUGGAAUUAGAAUUCAGUUCUCUGGGCACUUUCCACUAGGUUCUUUCCACUUUCCACGAUAUACCAUUUCAUGAAUUGGCAAGGAUCACUGAGAUUUUGAAGUAAUGCAUUAUAAAAUGGUCCUUUAAAAAUUUUUUUAACUACUGUCCUCCUUGAUCUUGAAUUAUGCUUUAUUAUUCCAAUAAUAUUUUUACCAUAUAGUUUGUAACAAUUUACACAAUCAAAUUUUGUGGUGUUCUUUUUCUUUUAAAAUAAUAAUGGUUCUCUCUGGGAAAGAGCAAGUUUCUUGGGGAGGUUUUUCUGGAGGCAUCCUUUGUUUCAGUUAAGAGUAAUAAUCACCCAAAAUGCAGCCAGCCAAUAAAAAUGCAAACUUAUUUUCUCCUUCCAAAAUAGCUCAGUUAGUUGAGGCCUAUCUCUCUGCUUGGUUCUAAGAGCUCUUGCAGCUUUGUCCUUUGCUUCUGCCUCUGCUUUCUUCAGCUCCAGAGCCAGCACCAAGUUGAAUCUGUCUUGCCUCUGAGAGAGGGCUUCUGGCUCUCAAUCUUCCAGAGUGCUCCUCUCUGACCCCAGUCAAUGUUCAACUCAAGCCUCAGCUCAUUACAAAAUUUUCCCUUCUAAAAUGAUUAGAUUUAGACUUAUGAAAGUUUUCUUUAUUUUUACUCCCUUGUCAAUUCACUUUUUCCAUCCUUAAAGUACCUACAUUUUGAAAAAUUAUUAAUAGGAUUCAAGUUUUUUGUUUGUCUCAUUCUCAUCUUCUUGGCCUCUGAACACAAUUCCCUUUCAUAGUCUCUUACUUGAAUAUGUCUUAUUUCCCAGACUUCCCAGAACUUAAUUUUCUUUUCUUUUUUUUUUUAUCCUCUCAGGACUUUAAAAAAAAAUCAUCUUUUUAUAGUAAGUAGCUAUAACUCUGAAGGGGCAACUCUGCUUUCCAUUUGGAAAAUUUUCUUCCAAAGCUCAGUGAUUUACAAAGCUAAAAAAUAACUAAGUUACAGUCUUUUAGGUUUACUUCCUUAUUUACAGAGAAGCAACUAUAUUCUUCAAAACAAGCCAAACUGGUUUGUUUCCCUUUUUCUCUUAUAAAAGGAAGUAUUGUUCAUGCUAAUUAGACAGGAAUGUUAGCCAUUAUUUGCUCAUGCCAUUUGGAUUUACUUCAAAUUCAUUACUAAUGUGGUAUUACUGUUAACUAAUAGAAGAAAAACAACACUAACAAUUUAACUGGCAAAACAUAUGAAAAAUCCUUGUUGGAAGGUCCAUUUUUUCUAUUUAUUUUCCCUGUUCUGUUCCAUUCCAGUGUGCAAAUAUUUCAUUAAAUACUUACUAUAUAUAAAUCCUUAUAUGUUGGGAAACAAAAAUAAGCUGGCAUACCAUUUUUGUGCUAUUCCUCAUACAUGAAAUUUUCUCUUCUACAUGCCUUUGCACAAGUUGCUCUCUCCCACUCCCUUGACUGAGAUGUGCUCUCUUUAUUUCUACCUCUUGUGAAGACCUUUCUCUUCUUUCACUCCAUUGUAAAAAUUCUUUUGUGCCUCUUCAUGUGAUAUAUUUUACCCCAUUCUGGCUCUCUAUUUCAUUUUCUCAGUGCAUUCUCUUUUCCACCCCUUAUUUUUUUUUAAAUAUCAUCUCAUUAACAACUUAUACCCAUUAUCUCUAUGUAUACUCUUUCUAACUGUCCUAGAAGAGAUAGUGUUUAAGGAUUACAACUGUCAUCAUGCCAUGCAGGAGAACAGUUUAACCUUAUUGGAUAACUUCUGUUUUUUUCUUUCUUAUUUACCUUUUUAUGGUUCUCUUGAAUCUCAUAUUUGAAAAUCAAAUUUUCUAGUCAAAAUAAGGAAUGUAAGAAAAUAUGUAUUUCAUUAAAUGUCCAUUUUUUCCCCUGAAACAUUAUUCACAAUGGAGGAGCCAAUAUGGCAGAGAAAAAGGCAGCCACUUGCCUAAGCUCUCCCUAAAACCUCUCUGAAUACCUUUAAAAAAUGCCAUCUAACAAUUUCUGGAGUGGCAGAACCCACAAAAGGACAAGGUAAAAUAAUUUUCCAAUCAAAGACAACUUAAAAAGGUUGUUAGGAAAGGUCUGUUGCACCAAAAUGAGAAUGGAGCACAAGUCCAGGAUGGGUUGCGCCAGCACAGACCCUCUCACCGAACCAGGAGCAGGCUUUGGGAGCCAUUAAAUCUAUAUAGAAGCGCAGCUGCUUCUGGAGCUGUCAGUCCACAGACAAUAAGAGGGAUCAAACAACUUAUCAGAAGGAUCUCAUUAUUGCCACUGGGGAAGGACUCUGUUGCUUUGCUUAUGUUCAAAAUGUGGGUCAUAGGCCUAGGUAGCAAUCCCAGGGUAAGGAAGAGCAUUAACACACUAAAGCUUGUGAUUACAGUGGAGUGGGGAGCCUCCUCACAGUUCCAAUGCAAAAAAGAGUGCUCCCUCACAGAACAGAACAUAGACCUGGAGAGUAGUAAAUACCUUGAAAGAACUGAAAACUUACAGGCCUUUAGAAGGGUCUCUGAAAACAGCCACAUAAAAACCCUGAAGCUUGGGACAGUGCGCCCUCCAUCCUGGAAGCAGUGCCCCACUUUAACAAAGAGUUACAAGACAAGAAGUAGACUAGAAAAAUGAACAUUCAAUAGAAAAAAAAAAUUCUGACCCCUGAAAAUUAUUAUGGUGACAUGGAAGAUUAAAACACUUUCAGAAGAUAACAAAAUCAAAGCUCCUACAUCCAAAACCUACAAGAAAAAUAUGAAUUGGUCUCAGGCUAUAGAAGGGCUCAGAAAGGAUUUUGAAAACCAAGUUAAGAGAGGUAAAGGAAAAACUGAGAAGAGAAAUGAGAAUAGUGCAAGAAAAAUCAUGAAAAAAAGAGUCAACAUCUUGGUAAAAAAGACAAACACAAAAAUUGAAUAAAAUAAUACUUUACAAUACAGAGUAACAUAAAAGCGGUACAAACAACGCCCCCCCCCCAAAAAACAAAACAAAACAAAACAAAAAAAACAAUGAAGAAUGUACUGAAAAGCAGAAUUGACCAAAUGGAAAAUUUAGAAUUGUGCAAAUGGAAGCUAAUACCUUCAUGAUAAAUCAAGAAACAAAAAACCUAAAUAAAUAAUAAGCCAAAUGAAUAAAAAAAUAAAACAUAAUGUGAAAUAUUUCAUAGGGAGAAAAAUAACUGACCUAGAAAAGAGAUAAUUUAAAAUUUAUUAUACUACCUAAAAACGAUUAUCAAAAAAAGACCCUCUACAUCAUCUUUUAAAAAGUUAUUAAGGAAAACUACCUGGAUAGUCUAGAAUCAGAGGGUAAAAUAUAAAUACAAAGAAUCUAUCAAUCAUCUCCUGAAAGAGAUCCCCAAAUGAAAACUCCUAGGAAUAGUAUAGCCAAAUUCCAGAACUCCUAGGUCAAGGAGAAAAUACUGUAAGCCAGCUAGAAAGAAAUAAUACAAAUAUCAUGGAGCCAUAAUCAGGAUAAGACAAAAUAUAGCAGCUUCUACAUUAAAGAAUUGGAGGACUUAGAAUAUGAUAUUUUGGAAGGCAAAGGAACUUAGAUUACAACCAACAAUCACCUACCUAAUAAAACUGAGUAUAAUCCUUCAGGAGAAAAAAAAUAUUAAAUGAAAUAGAGGACUUUCAAGUAUUUCUGAUAAAAAGAGCACAGCUAAAUAGAAAAUUUGACUUUCAAAUAUAAAACAUAAAAAAGUAAACAGGAAAGGGGAAUCAUAAGGGAUUUAAUAAGGUUAAACUGUUUAUAUUCCUAAAUGGUGACAUGAUACUUGCAACUCAUAAGAACUUUCUCAUUAUUGGGGCAGUUAGAAGGAAUAUAUGUGUGUAUAUGUGUGUGUGUGUGUGUGUGCGCGCGCGUGUGUGAGUUGAAUAUGAAGGGAUGAGAUCUUAAAAAAAAAAAAAAGAAAAUUAAAAAAGAGAGGAAUGCACUGAGAGAAAAAAGGUAGAAUUGGACAAAUUAUUUAUCACAUAAAAGAGGCAAGAAAAGCUUUUUAAUAGUGGAGGGAAAGAUAGGAAAGGUGAAAGGGAAUGGCUCAGAGAGAGAAUAACAUACACAUUCAAUUGGGUUUAGAAAUCUAUUUUACUCUACAGUAAAGUAAGAAGGAAAUAAAAGAAAGGGGGUAGUGAUAGAAGUAAGGGCAGAUUGGAGGAGUGAUAGAACAAAAUACUUUUGAGAAGGGAUAGGGUAAAAAGGAGAGAAAGGGAAUAGAAUAAAUGGGUGAAAAAGAAUGAAGAGAAACAGCAAUUAUAGCUGAAAAAAAUUUUGAAGCAAGUUUCUCUGAAAAAGGCCUCAUUUCUCAAAACAUAUAGAGAACUGAGUCAAAUUUACAAAAAUAGUCAUUCCUCAAUUGAUAAAUGAUCAAACGAUAUAAUUUUCAGAUAAAGUAGUCACAGUUAUCCAGAGUCAUAUGAAAAAUGCUCUAAUCAUUACUGAAUGGAGAAAUGCAAAUUGAAACAACUCUGAGGUACUACCCUCAUACCUAUUAGAUCAGCUAAUAGGACAGAAAAGGAAAAUGAAGGUGGUGGAGGGAGAUAUGGGAAAAAUGAGACAUUAAUGCACUGGUGGGAGAGUUGUGACCCGACAACUAUUUUGUAAAGCAAUUUGGUGCCCAAAGGGCUAUAAAACCAUGCAUACUCUUUGACCUAGCAAUACCAUUGCUAUCUCAAGAGAGAAAAAAAAAAAAAAAGAAAAGAACAUAUAUGUUUUAAAAUAUUUAUAGCAGUUCUUUUCUGGUGGCAAAGAACUGGAAAGUAGGGGGCUAGCCACCAAUUGGGAAAUUGCUUAACAAACUGUAGCAUGUGAUCAUGAUGUUAUAUUAUCAUACCAAUAGAAGUAGUGAACAGGAUGCUCUCAAAAAAACCUGGAAACAGAGAAGCUGAUACAAAGUAACAGGUACACUACACAAAGUAAUAACAAUAUUUUAAAAUGAUUGGCUGUGAAUGACUUUGCUAUUCUCAGCAAUAUAAUGAUCCAAGACAACUGGGAAGAUUUAGGAUAAAAACUGUUACUAAUACCCACAGAAAGAACUGAGAGUAUCUGAACACAGAUUGAAACAUACUUUUUUAACUUUUAUUUUUCUUGAGGUUUUUUGGUCUAUGUUUUCUUUCAAAACAUGACUGAUAUGGAAAUAUAUUUUGCAUUAUUACAUAUGUAUAACCUAUAUCGAACUGCUUGUCUUCUCAAUGAGAGGCACAGGGAUGAAGGAAAGGAGAGAUUUUGUUUCAAAAACUAAUGUUAAAAAUCAUUUUCACAUAUAAUUAGCAAAAAAUAAAAUACUUUUAAAAAUUAUGCUGUUAGGUAGUUGAUUUUUUACUGUAAUCCAAGUUCCUUUGCCUUCCAGAAUGAACAUCAUAUUUCAAAUCUUUCAAUUCUUUAAUGUAGGAAGUUACUAAAUCCUAAGUAAUCCUGAUUGUGACUCCUCAAUAUUUGAAUUGGUUCUUUCUUGGAUUCUUUCAAGUAUUUUUUUCCUUUACCCAAGAUUUCUGGCAUUUAGCUAAAAUAUUUCUUAAAGUUUUCAUUUUGGGAUCUCUUUCAGGAGAUAAUUGGUGGAUUCUUUCUAUUACUCAUAUCCUCUGGUUCUAGAAUAUUAGGGCAAUUUUCCUUGAUAAUUUCUUAAAAGAUGUUUUUGAUCAUGAAUUUCAGGUAGUACAAUAAUUCUUAAAUUAUCUCUCCCGAAUCUAUUUUUUAAGUUAGUUGCUUUUCCAAUAAAGUAUUUUACAUUUUCUCCCAUAUUUUCAUUCUUUUGAUUUCGAUUCUGUCAAGAGUCACUUGCCUAAUUCUAAUUUUUAAGGAAUUAUUUUCUUUAACUUUUGUAUCUCCUUUUCUAUUUGGUUAAUUCUCCUU